UAGCCAUGAGCAGGUUGAAGGUUGGGUAACACCAACUGGAGGACCGAACCCGUUUCUGUUGCAAUAGAUUGGGAUGACUUGUGGCUAGGGGUGAAAGGCCAAUCAAACUUGGAAAUAGCUGGUUCUCCGCGAAAUCUAUUUAGGUAGAGCGUCGACCGAAUACCCCCGGGGGUAGAGCACUGGAUGGGCUAUGGGGACUCACCGUCUUACUGAUCCUAACCAAACUCCGAAUACCGGGGAGUACUAGUCGGCAGACACACGGCGGGUGCUAACGUCCGUCGUGGAAAGGGAAACAACCCUGACCAACAGCUAAGGUCCCCAAGUCAUGGCUAAGUGGGAAAGGAUGUGAGGAUCCCAAAACAACCAGGAUGUUGGCUUAGAAGCAGCCAUCAUUUAAAGAAAGCGUAACAGCUCACUGGUCUAAAUAAGGGUCUUUGCGCCGAAAAUGUACCGGGGCUCAAGCCAUGCACCGAAGCUUUGGGUUCACUCUUUGAGUGAGCGGUAGCGGAGCGUUCUGUAAGCUGAUGAAGCAGGAUCUGUGAGGACCUGUGGAGGUAUCAGAAGUGCGAAUGCUGACAUGAGUAACGAUAAAGGGAGUGAGAGACUCCCUCGCCGAAAGUCCAAGGGUUCCUGCUUAAAGUUAAUCUGAGCAGGGUUAGCCGGCCCCUAAGGCGAGGCCGAAAGGCGUAGUCGAUGGGAACCACGUUAAUAUUCGUGGGCCUGCGGGUAGUGACGGAUCGCGUGUAUUGUCAGUCCUUAUCGGAUUGGUCUGGCAGUGAAGCGGUCCCGGGAAAUAGCUCCCGCGUACAGACCGUACCCUAAACCGACACAGGUGGACUGGUAGAGUAUACCAAGGCGCUUGAGAGAACUCUGCUGAAGGAACUCGGCAAAUUACACGCGUAACUUCGGGAUAAGCGUGACCUUGCAGCGGGCAACCGUUGUGAGGUGGCACAGACCAGGGGGUAGCGACUGUUUAUCAAAAACACAGGGCUCUGCGAAGCCGCAAGGCGACGUAUAGGGUCUGACGCCUGCCCGGUGCUGGAAGGUUAAGAGGAGAGGUGCAAGCUUUGAAUCGAAGCCCCAGUAAACGGCGGCCGUAACUAUAACGGUCCUAAGGUAGCGAAAUUCCUUGUCGGGUAAGUUCCGACCUGCACGAAUGGCGUAACGACUUCCCCGCUGUCUCCAGCAGAGGCUCAGUGAAAUUGAAUUCCCCGUGAAGAUGCGGGGUUCCUGCGGUUAGACGGAAAGACCCCGUGCACCUUUACUAUAGCUUUACACUGGCAUUCGUGUCGGCAUGUGUAGGAUAGGUGGUAGACUUUGAAGCCAGGGCGCCAGCCUUGGUGGAGUCGCCCUUGAAAUACCACCCUUAUCUACAUGGAUGUCUAACCGCGGCCCGUCAUCCGGGUCCGGGACAGUGUAUGGUGGGUAGUUUGACUGGGGCGGUCGCCUCCUAAAGAGUAACGGAGGCGCGCGAUGGUGGGCUCAGAGCGGUCGGAAAUCGCUCGUUGAGUGCAAUGGCAUAAGCCUGCCUGACUGCGAGACUGACAAGUCGAGCAGAGACGAAAGUCGGUCAUAGUGAUCCGGUGGUCCCGCGUGGAAGGGCCAUCGCUCAACGGAUAAAAGGUACGCCGGGGAUAACAGGCUGAUGACCCCCAAGAGUCCAUAUCGACGGGG
rnacentral:rRNA from 1 species